GCUCUCUUAGCUCAAUGGAUUAGAGUUUUUGAUUUCGACUCAAAAGGUUAUAGGUUCGAAUCCUAUAGAGAGCGCCA
rnacentral:tRNA from 1 species